UACAUGGGGUGCAAACGUUGCUCGGAAUUAUUGGGCGUAAAGCGCGCGUAGGCGGUCGCUUAAGUCGGAUGUGAAAGCCCUUGGCUUAACCGAGGAAGUGCAUCCGAAACUGAGCAGCUAGAGUACGAAAGAGGGUCGCGGAAUUCCCGGUGUAGAGGUGAAAUUCGUAGAUAUCGGGAGGAACACCGGUGGCGAAGGCGGCGACCUGGGUCGAGACUGACGCUGAGGCGCGAAAGCCAGGGGAGCGAACGGG
rnacentral:rRNA from 1 species